GCCUUGGAGACUGCACAAUGAAGGACAGUCCUCAGACUGAACUACUGGCUGUCAGGGAGAUGAAUACUGCCACCCAUGCUGUCCCUGAAGCACACAGCUCACCUCGGAGCUCUGCCUGUCCAGAUGGCCUGAUCCUCAUGUCCCCACCUGGCCUGCUGACUCCCUCCUGGCUGAAGGGUGGAAAUGAAUCCUUGUACGGAAUAAGCCUCUCCGGCCCGACCUGGGAAUGAGUAACAGCUUAGCUGGUGACCUUUGCCCUGGGACGACAGCUCUGGACAGCUGCAGGAGGCUUCGUUGGGAUGGGGGUGGCCCAUUGUGGGGUGCCUGGCAGGAGUCUCUGAGCCAUGUCUUUAGAAGGUACGAGUGCAGGACACAGUUCUUUUGUGGUCUGAGAUCUGUGCUUAGGCAGAGAACUGUGUCCAGAGAGUCAGGCUGUAAAGUGGGGAGCCUCCCGUGAGGGCUGCAGCAUUCCCGUGCAGAUCCCUAAUUUCCAAUCUGGACUCUAGAAGACUUUGGUUCUCUUCCUGGCUCUGGCCUCUGCUGGGACCCUGGAGGUGUCUCCUUUCUCCUUCAAGUUUUUCAUCAGCAAUGCCAGGAUUUGGUAAUGACAUGAGUCCCUCCUGGCUCAGAUAGCCCAGCAUCACUGUCACCCUGGGAUCCCUUUGCUGACAUCCCAGUCCCAGACCAGUAACUGCAGCUCAGAGUACCUGAGGCUCCCCAGCUGUUUCCACGGCUUCCCUGUGCCUCAACCCUUAUGACCUUGUUAUUCCCCAGAAAUUCUGCAGCAUGGCAGGCUGGGCUCCCCGCUCCCUGGGGGAGCCUUGUGCUGUGUCACUUCCUCAGACCCCUGCCUGAGCCUGUCCCCUUGUGGGGGACCAGAGUGUAUACCUCACCUGAGCUAGCUUUCUGUUGCUGCUAUACAUAUUACCACAAACUUAGUGGCUUAGAACCCCACACUGUAUUAUCUUACAGUUCUGGAGGGUCAGAAGUUUGACACAAGUCUCACUGGCCUAAAACCAAGGUGCUGGCAGGUCUGACUCCUUCUGAAGGCUCUAGGGGUAUAUUAGUCUAUUCUCAUGCUGCUUAUAAAGACAUACCCGAGACUGGGUAAUUUAUAAAGAAAAAGAGGUUUAAUGGACUCGCAGUUCCAUAUGGCUGGGGAGGCCUCACAAUUAUGGUGGAAGGCAAAGGAAGAGCAAAGGGAUGUCUUACAUGGCAACAGGCAAGAGAACUUGUACAGGGGAACUCCCAUUUAUAAAACCAUCAGAUCUUGUGAGACUUAUUCACUACCAUGAGAACAGCAUGGGAAAGGCCCACCCCCAUGAUUCAAUUACCUCCCACUGGGUCCUUCCCACGACAUGCGGGGAUUAUGGGAGCUACAAUUCAAGAUGAGAUUUGGAUGGGGACAUAGCCAGUCCAUAUCAAGGGGAGAACCCACUUCCUUGCCUUUUCCAACUUCUAGAGGCUGCCUGCAUUCCUUGGCUCAUGGCCCUUUCCUCCAUCUUCAAAGCCAGCUUUGGGGCUCUGUCACCCUUCUUGUAUUGCAUUUCUAACCCACUCUGCCACCUCCUCCACUUCUAAGGACUCAUGGGUUAGGUUGGGCCCAUCUGGAUAAUGCCACAUAAUCUCCUCAUUUCAAAGCCUUAACUUUCUUCACAUCUGCAAGUCCUGUGAUCAUGUAAGGACACCUUUUCAUGGGUUCUAGGGAUUAGGCUGGGGAUAGUUUUGCCGGGAGCAUUCUUCUGCCUACCACCCCACCCAAUCUGAGGCUUGGGGUUUGCGCAGGGCACCAUGAUAGUUUUCCUCUGGGGUCUCAGCUCAGGUGCUAGAAGGGCACCUCCUCUCUGGAACCCUCUGUGAUUGCACCAGGCAGAGGCAACUGCCCUUCCUCUGGCAACCACCACCCCCAGCACACUUGUCAUGCUUGUGUGACAGUGCCUGUGGGUAGGUCUCCCCUGUUAAUUGGGAACAAGUGGGUAGUGUCAGGCCUCUGAGCCCAAGCUAAGCCAUCAUAUCCCCUGUGACCAGCAUGUAUACAUCCAGAUGGCCUGAAGCAACUGAAGAUCUACAAAAGAAGUGAAAAUAGCCUUAACUGAUGACAUUCCACCAUUGUGAUUUGUUUCUGCCCCACCCUAACUGAUCAAUGUACUUUGUAAUCUCCCCCACCCUUAAGAGGGUUCUUUGUAAUUCUCCCCACCCUUGAGAAUGUACUUUGUGAGAGCCACCCUCUGCCCGAAAAACAUUGCUCCUAACUCCACCGCCUAUCCCAAAACCUAUAAGAACUAAUGAUAAUCCCACCACCCUUUGCUGACUCCUUUUUCGGACUCAGCCCCCCCGCACCCAGGUGAAAUAAACAGCCUUGUUGCUCGCAAAAAGCCUGUUUGGUGGUCUCUUCACACAGACAGGUGAGACAGGUAGAGACCUUACCUUCUUCCCCCGGGGUGC
rnacentral:lncRNA from 1 species